rnacentral:misc_RNA from 1 species
GAUGAAGAACGCAGCGAAAUGCGAUAAGUAGUGUGAAUUGCAGAAUUCAGUGAAUCAUCGAAUCUUUGAACGCACAUUGCGGCCAUAGGUAUUCCUUUGGCCAUGCCUGUUCGAGCGUCAUUUACACCCUCAAGCCUAGCUUGGUGUUGGGCGUCUGUCCCGCCGUUCUCGCGCGCGGACUCGCCUCAAAGUCAUUGGCGGCGGUCGUGCCGGCCCCCUCGCGCAGCACAUUUGCGCUUCUCGGAGGCCCGGCGGAUCCGCGCUCCAGCAAGACCUUUCACGACUUGACCUCGGAUCAGGUAGGGAUACCCGCUGAACUUAAGCAUAUCAAUAGCGAGGA